CUUUCUAUAUGUGUGUGUGUGUGUGUGUGUGUGUGUAUACAUACACACACACACACACGCAUACAUACUUGAAGCU